UGUAUCGGAAGCCUGACGAGGAUGAGAACCUCCGGGGGCAAGAGGUUCGACUCGAGCGCAGCGAGAGAACGUUGCGUCAGCAACGGCCCGCAGGGCG
rnacentral:sRNA from 1 species